CAAAUAGUGAUUUUAAAAAAAAAAAAACACUGACUAUUAAACGUUAAAAAAAAUUGAGAAAAGAUUUUCGAUUUUCCCUAGGAGGUUCUUUUUAGCUUCAGCCAAAAAUUUCCCCUUUUCCCAAAAUUUCAAUUUCACUUUCUUCGUAUUCAUCAAACUGCCCCAAAUUUCAUUUUGUAUUUCCCUCCAAUUUCUCUUUGUGUGUCCUCCAAAUUUCAAUUUGUAGGUUCAUUCUAAGCCUUGGGCCAAGGUUCAUCAUGUGCGAUGGAAGAUAGGAUUCUCAGGUACUUUUUCUUCUCAUUUUGAUUUCCCCUAGAGCUACACGAAAACCCUAAGUCAGCGCUAAGAUAUAUUAUCGAAGGAUGGGUCUGAACCUAGAAUGUCGUUUGUACGAGGCGAGGUACCUGAAGGUGGACAUGGCGAUGAUGAUACAGGCGAAGAACAUAGCGGACAUGCUGCCUACUUGUCACUUUUGGAGUACAACAACAUUGAGGGUAUGAUCUUGUUCUCGGAGCUCUCCCGCCUUCGGAUUUGGAGCGUCAAAAACCUCAUCAAGGUGGGGCACAUCGAGCCCGUCAUAGUCCUCUGUGUCAACAAGGAAAAGGGUUACAUCGAUCUCAGCAAGCAUAGGGUCUCCUAAGAGAACAUUCAGGCCUGCGAGGAGAGGAGCAAGGAAUACUGGUUCUCAACAAUGCCAUUACUUCUUGCACUGAAGCAAUAGAACAACACAAGGGUAAACUUAUGGUUAAAGAGGUUUUUUUCCCUGUUGAAGAAAGCUUUUUGGAAGAGAUCCAGGGCAUCUCACUGUUGACAGAAGUCACCCAAUGGAGUUUUUCCUACUCAAUGCAAUGCGUCUUGCUGACAUCUUCUCUAAUUGAAAGUUAGUUCCUAUCCUUGUCUAUAUGUCCAAGUGGGAUGCGAACUUCAAUUUUAGCACAAUUAGUGUUAAUUCUUUAACCGAGGUUACAAAGGUUUUUUUUGCUAUUGUUAUGCUUAUUCUCCAGGUGAAGAUCACUUUCCUUUUGUCUAUACUCAUUUUCUAUCUUUUCAAUUACUUAUAAUUAAAGCAUGUGUCUUUUGUGGAAGAAAACCAGUAUGGGCAGGUUGAUAGGUGAAAGGAAACAUAUUAGCAGUUGUAAAAGAAAAUAGGCAUGUCUUUCUGAGUGAUCUUGAAACUCAUAAUUGUUUUACAUUCAUAUAAAGUGUAAGUGGUUUGUCAUUGUGCAGGGUAGGCAUCAAAAAGUUGGGGAGAAACCCCUUCUCUUAAUUUCCACAUUCGUGCAGAAAGGCAUGGAAUCUUGACUUCAUGAACUGGUCAACAAGCUAUGACUUUCAGCUGCUAAAUAUUUUGAUAGAAUGGCUAUGAAAGAGCUUUAGUAUUUUUGUAGUUGCAGAUGUCAACAAUAUCGUGAUAAUCAAAUUAUUGAAGUUAAGGAAUACAUGCAAUUAGUACAUACUUAUACUUAUAAGUUAUGGUGAUGGAAAUGGUUAUAGGUACAAAUGGGAUAUAUAUGAAAGAAAUUAUCACAUGUGAAGGGGCAAUAAUUUCAACUAAGUAUUGUCCUAAUUACAGAUAUCUACAACAUCGUGACAAUCAAAUUACUGAAGUUAGGAAAGAUUGACAUUUACGUACAUGUUAAUAGGUUAUGUAAUGGUGAUGUACAUGUUUAUAUGUAUUAAUAGGAUAUAUAUGUUAGGGUUGUAUAUAUGUCUUAUAAAACAAUGUCAUGUCAUGACAUGUAUUUGACGAUUCAACAAUUAUCUUUUGAAAUGUUAUUGUAUCAAAAAAAUUUAUUUAUACAUAAAGUA